UACAGGGGGGGCAAGCGUUGUUCGGAAUUACUGGGCGUAAAGGCUCGUAGGUGGCCAACUAAGUCAGACGUGAAAUCCCUCGGCUUAACCGGGGAACUGCGUCUGAUACUGGAUGGCUUGAGGUUGGGAGAGGGAUGCGGAAUUCCAGGUGUAGCGGUGAAAUGCGUAGAUAUCUGGAGGAACACCGGUGGCGAAGGCGGCAUCCUGGACCAAUUCUGACGCUGAGGAGCGAAAGCCAGGGGAGCAAACGGGG
rnacentral:rRNA from 1 species